UUUGGGAAAUGAUGAUCGAAACUGUUUGACAUAGGCCUAUGCUGUGCUGAGUAUUCUAUUGAUUUGCACGUCAGUCUGAUCCCAAAUAUUCACUAAAAAAACAAUACGUCGUGAGAUGAUUUUGCUGCCUUGUUUGGGUUAGGCAUACUCUUUAGUUUCGAUGUUAGAAUAUCUAAUUCAUUGUAGUUUAGACACGGAUGUGUGAGUUAGCUUUCAAAUACCCAUUAUUGCAAUUCUGUUUUGUUGCAUUUACUCUGAGUUUGCCAAUGAGGUUUGGUAUUUAACCAUCAUAAGAUGGGAUUAAUUUAUGCUUUAGUUUUUGUUUGGGAAAUGAUGAUCAAAACUGUUUCGACAUAGGCUUAUGCUGUGCUGAGUAUUCUAUUGAUUUGCACGUCAGUCUGAUCCCAAA
rnacentral:lncRNA from 1 species